UCAGGUUUAGGCUCUGUCUAGCUUGGGGGUCAUCUGGGUGAUCUCCCCAGGCAUAAGACAGCAAGAUUAUGUGCAGACACCCCUUGCCCUCAUUUCCUUAACCUUACCCUCUGUGACCAUCAGUUCCAUGCCAGGGCUGCUCUUAGCAGCAUGUUAGACCUCUACCUCCCAAAUUGCUCUUCCGGCGAAAGGAUGGUUUCAGACUUCCACUCUGAUCACAGCUGCCCACCACUCCUGCAGACACCUGCUGUCCGUCGGGAUGGAUAAUGCAUCAGAAAAGCUGCUUUUACAUCUCACUUACUUCAAAAAAUUGGCAGGAGAGCCAAAAACAAUGUGAAACUCUGUCUUCCAAGCUGGCCACAUUCAGUGAAAUUUAUCCACAAUCACACUCUUACUACUUCUUAAAUUCACUGUUGCCAAAUGGUGGUUCAGGGAAUUCAUAUUGGACUGGCCUCAGCUCUAACAAGGAUUGGAAGUUGACUGAUGAUACACAACGCACUAGGACUUAUGCUCAAAGCUCAAAAUGUAACAAGGUACAUAAAACUUGGUCAUGGUGGACACUGGAGUCAGAGUCAUGUAGAAGUUCUCUUCCCUACAUCUGUGAGAUGACAGCUUUCAGGUUUCCAGAUUAGGACAGUCCUUUGCACUGAGUUGACACUCAUGCCAACAAGAACCUGUGCCCCUCCUUCCUAACCUGAGGCCUGGGGUUCCUCAGACCAUCUCCUUCAUUCUGGGCAGUGCCCAGCCACCGGCUGACCCACACCUGACACUUCCAGCCAGUCUGCUGCCUGCUCCCUCUUCCUGAAACUGGACUGUUCCUGGGAAAAGGGUGAAGCCACCUCUAGAAGGGACUUUGGCCUCCCCCCAAGAACUUCCCAUGGUAGAAUGGGGUGGGGGAGGAGGGCGCACGGGCUGAGCGGAUAGGGGCGGCCCGGAGCCAGCCAGGCAGUUUUAUUGAAAUCUUUUUAAA
rnacentral:lncRNA from 1 species